AUUGAACGCUGGCGGCAGGCCUGACACAUGCAAGUCGAGCGGAUGAAGGGAGCUUGCUCCUGGAUUCAGCGGCGGACGGGUGAGUAAUGCCUAGGAAUCUGCCUGGUAGUGGGGGAUAACGUCCGGAAACGGGCGCUAAUACCGCAUACGUCCUGAGGGAGAAAGUGGGGGAUCUUCGGACCUCACGCUAUCAGAUGAGCCUAGGUCGGAUUAGCUAGUUGGUGGGGUAAAGGCCUACCAAGGCGACGAUCCGUAACUGGUCUGAGAGGAUGAUCAGUCACACUGGAACUGAGACACGGUCCAGACUCCUACGGGAGGCAGCAGUGGUGAAUAUUGGACAAUGGGCGAAAGCCUGAUCCAGCCAUGCCGCGUGUGUGAAGAAGGUCUUCGGAUUGUAAAGCACUUUAAGUUGGGAGGAAGGGCAGUAAGUUAAUACCUUGCUGUUUUGACGUUACCAACAGAAUAAGCACCGGCUAACUUCGUG
rnacentral:rRNA from 1 species